UUCAGUUUGUUUACAUUAUUAAAUGCAAUAAAUAAAAUUUGCUCAUUAAAUGAGUCUAUUUUCUCCAGUUAAAACAUGCAUUGAAAAAUGUUUAUCACAAUCGAAGCAUGAACGAGUUCCGGAAGCGCUUGUGGAGUAUAUUUUGUUGUUUGACCGAGUAAGCUGGUGAUGUCGAGGGCCCUACUAUAUGGUAGUGCAAAUUACGAGAUUACUGCGAGCGAAACGUGUACCAGCGUACGCAGCUUUGAUAAACGUCUGCUAUCUGUAUCGGUGACCAUGCCGCUUUGUAGCGGCGAAAAUGGAUACCCUCGGUACGAGAUCUAAACAUGCUAGCAUGCUAUUUGGAGCGGGCGCAUAACAAUUCAUGACUAUAUAUAAAGAAUAAGCAUAAUAAUAUAUAAGAAUAAACAAAAACGUCA